rnacentral:tRNA from 1 species
GGAUACAUGGCGGGNAAGGCACACCCCUGCUAAGGGUGCAGACGGCAACGUCUCGAGGGUUCGAAUCCCUUCCACUCCGCCA